rnacentral:rRNA from 1 species
GACGAACGCUGGCGGCGCGCUUAACACAUGCAAGUCGAGCGAAGCGGCGGACGGGUGAGUAACACGUGAGUAAACUGCCUUAGACAUUGGGAUAGCCUCGGGCAACCGGGAUUAAUACCAAAUGGUCUAUGAUGGAAUCGCGUCCCAUUAGUUAGUUGGUGAGGUAACGGCCCACCAAGGCGACCAUGGGUCGCCGACCGGAGAGGAUGAACGGCCACAUUGGGACUGAGACACGGCCCAGACUCCUACGGGAGGCAGCAGUGGGGAAUCUUCCGCAAUGGACGAAAGUCUGACGGAGCAACGCCGCGUGAGUGAUGACGGCCUGCGGGUUGUAAAGCUCUGUUAAUCGGGACGCGGUACCGGAAUAGAAAGCCACGGCGAACUACGUGCCAGCAGCCGCGGUAAUUC